CCAUGGGGGCAGUGGAAGUCAGAGGCCAGGAAUCCCUGGGUCUUGGGGAAGCUCCUAGGAAUCAGAGAAGGGGGUUUCUAGGAGAAGUCCUUGAAACCAGAGAAGGGUCUGGGGGGCCUGGAAGUAUGGGGUAGGAACUUCUUGGGCAAGGAACAGCCCAGAUGAAUAAAGGCUGAGCCCUGGGGAAGGUCAGGCCCCCUUCCGGCUGGGCUGGGCCCCGGGCCGGCGGGCAGGCAGCCCUGGGGAUGGGCAGCCCCGCUCUUUCUUGGGCCGUGUGCUGGUACCAGGGAUACGCAGGAGCUCAGCAGAUUUUGGCCUCCUGGCCCGGCUGCAUGGGACCCGAGCCCACGGCGACGAGGAGGCAGCGGGGGAGGCCGCCCGGAGACUGGCCUUCCUGAGACUGGGGCGUGGAUCGAAGCCCCAGCGUGCGUCCCUGGCUGAGAGAGUGGUGCCUGCAGGCGAGGCAGCUCCAGAGCCCCCACCCAAGGUCCCAGAGCCCCCAAAGAUGAAGGAGCCGUUGUCAGGUGAGUCCGGAGCCCUGACCCUGUCCUGGGAGAAUCCCAGUGCCCAUGUCCAUCCCCAGCCCUGGUGGUCCCAGGCUUCAUACUUAAGCCCAUCCCAGCUACCACCUGUGACCCCGACCUGCAAUUCACAUGUCUAACUCACAUCUCCCACCUCCAUGCCAGCUCCACCCGUUACCACUGCAGUCCUAAUCCCUGUCGUCAACCUUUCUCUUCAGUGCCACCCGUUAAUAUAUGCCCGCCCUCAAUCUUUGCCU
rnacentral:lncRNA from 1 species